UACGAAGGGGGCUAGCGUUGCUCGGAAUCACUGGGCGUAAAGCGCACGUAGGCGGAUUGUUAAGUCAGGGGUGAAAUCCUGGAGCUCAACUCCAGAACUGCCUUUGAUACUGGCGAUCUCGAGUCCGGGAGAGGUGAGUGGAACUGCGAGUGUAGAGGUGAAAUUCGUAGAUAUUCGCAAGAACACCAGUGGCGAAGGCGCCUCACUGGCCCGGUACUGACGCUGAGGUGCGAAAGCGUGGGGAGCAAACAGG
rnacentral:rRNA from 1 species